rnacentral:piRNA from 7 species
CGUACGUAGCAGAGCAGCUCCCUC